rnacentral:rRNA from 1 species
CGUAGGGGGCAAGCGUUGUCCGGAUUUAUUGGGCGUAAAGAGCGUGUAGGCGGUCUGGUAGGUCCGUUGUGAAAACUCGAGGCUCAACCUCGAGACGCCGAUGGAAACCAUCAGACUAGAGUCCGGAAGAGGAGAGUGGAAUUCCUGGUGUAGCGGUGAAAUGCGCAGAUAUCAGGAAGAACACCCGUGGCUAAGGCGGCUCUCUAGUACGGUACUGACGCUGAGACGCGAAAGCGUGGGGAGCGAACAGG